rnacentral:rRNA from 1 species
UGACUCGGCCAUGUCACCCUGCAGCCCAAGACCGGUUACUCACUGAAGCUAAGCAGGGCUGAGCCUGGUUACUACCUGGAUGGGAGACCACUAGGGAACACUAGGUUGCUGUUGGAA